AGCAGUAGCCGCGGGAAUACGUAGGUGGCAAGCGUUGUCCGGAAUUACUGGGCGUAAAGCGUGCGUAGGCGGUUCGUUAAGUCUGUUGUGAAAGCCCCGGGCUCAACCUGGGAAUGGCAAUGGAUACUGGCGAGCUAGAGUGUGUCAGAGGAUGGUGGAAUUCCCGGUGUAGCGGUGAAAUGCGUAGAGAUCGGGAGGAACAUCAGUGGCGAAGGCGGCCAUCUGGGACAACACUGACGCUGAGGCACGAAAGCGUGGGGAGCAAACAGGAUUAGAUACCCGUGUAGUCCCUGUCUCUUAUAA
rnacentral:rRNA from 1 species